CCUACGGGGGGCAGCAGUGGGGAAUAUUGGACAAUGGGGGGAACCCUGAUCCAGCCAUGCCGCGUGUGUGAAGAAGGCCCUCGGGUUGUAAAGCACUUUCAGUGAGGAAGAACGCCUGGUGGUUAAUACCCAUCAGGAAAGACAUCACUCACAGAAGAAGCACUGGCUAACUCCGUGCCAGCAGCCGCGGUAAUACGGAGGGUGCGAGCGUUAAUCGGAAUUACUGGGCGUAAAGCGCGCGUAGGUGGCUUGAUAAGCCGGUUGUGAAAGCCCCGGGCUCAACCUGGGAACGGCAUCCGGAACUGUCAAGCUAGAGUGCAGGAGAGGAAGGUAGAAUUCCCGGUGUAGCGGUGAAAUGCGUAGAGAUCGGGAGGAAUACCAGUGGCGAAGGCGGCCUUCUGGACUGAAACUGACACUGAGGUGCGAAAGCGUGGGUAGCAAACAGGAUUAGAUACCCCAGUAGUC
rnacentral:rRNA from 1 species